rnacentral:SRP_RNA from 1 species
ACCGGGUGCAGUGGCACGUGCCUGUAGUCCCAGCUACUUGGGAGGCUGAGGUGGUAGCUUCGCUUGAGCCCAGGAGUUCUGGGCUGUAGUGCACUAUGCUGAUCGGGUGUCCGCACUAAGUUUGGCAUCAAUAUGGUGACCUCUCGGGAGCUGGGGACCACCAGGUUGCCUAAGGAGGGGUGAACCGGCCCAGGUCGGAAACGGAGCAGGUCAAAACUCCAGUGCUGAUCAGUAAUGGGAUCACACCUGUGAAUAGCCACUGUACUCCAGCCUGGGCAACAUGGCGAGACCCUGUCUAAA